rnacentral:rRNA from 1 species
GUGACCUCAGAUCAGACAAGGCCACCCGCUGAAUUUAAGCAUAUCAUUAGGCGGAGGAAAAGAAACUAACGAGGAUCCCCUUAGUAGCGGCGAGCGAAGCGGGGACAGUCCAACUUGAGAAUCGUAGUGCGCGUCGCUGUGCCUUCGAAUUGUAGUCUAGAGAAGCGCUCCCCGCGGCAGCCCGGGCCAAAGUUCCUUGGAAUGGGACGUCAGAGAGGGUGAGAGCCCCGUCGCCCCCGGCGUCUGCCGCGCCACGGGAAGCUGUCGUCGAGUCGGGUUGCUUGAGAAUGCAGCCCCAAUUCGGUGGUAAAUUCCAUCGAAGGCUAAAUACGCGCGAGAGCCCAAUAGCAAAAAAGUACCGCGAGGGAAAGAUGAAAAGUACUCUGAAAAGAGAGUGAAAAAGCGCUUGAAAUCGAUGCGAGGGAACCGAACGAGCGCAUCGCAGGGCACGCCGGACAACGCCCCGGAACGGUUAACGGUCCGGAGGCGUUCGCCCGGCGCGGAACAGCACGGGUUCCUCGGACUUCGCGGCGCAAGCCAUCGCGCGCGCGCGCCGCGGCCUGUCGAACUCGGCGCUGGGACGACGCGCUCUCCCGACCCGUCUUGUAACACGGACCAAGGAGUCUAACACGCACGCGAGUCCGCGGGCGGCAACCCCGCAGGCGUAAGGAAAUUGAGUCGUGAGAUCGCGGCAACGCGUGCAUCACGCGCCGACUUUGAGCAGACGCGCAAGGGUUCGAGUGGCAGCGCGCAUGUUGGGACCCGAAAGAUGGUGAACUAUGCCUGAGCAGGGCGAAGCCAGAGGAAACUCUGGUGGAAGAUCGCAGCGAUACUGACGUGCAAAUCGUUCGUCGGACUUGGGUAUAGGGGCGAAAGACUAAUCGAACCAUCUAGUAGCUGGUUCCCUCCGAAGUUUCCCCCAGGAUAGCCGGAGCCCGUUUUAAGUUCUAGCAGGUAAAGCAAAUGAUCAGAGGUCUCGGGAGCGAAACGCUCUCGACCUAUUCUCAAACUUUAAAUGGUUAGGGCGCCCGCCGUUGCCCGAGCGAACGGCGGGCUACAAUUGGGGCUCCGAGUGGGCCAUUUUUGGUAAGCAGAACUGGCGAUGCGGGAUGAACCGAAAGUCGGGAUAAGGUGCCCAACUCCGCGCUAACCUAGACUACACAAAGGGUGUUGAUCGAUACAGACAGCAGGACGGUGGUCAUGGAAGUCGAAACCCGCUAAGGAAUGUGUAACAACUCACCUGCCGAAUCAACUAGCCCCGAAAAUGGAUGGCGCUGAAGCGCGGGACCUAUCCCCGACCGCGGCGGCGUGUGAACGCCGGCGUGAGUAGGAGGGCGUGGGGGCGGCGCCGCACCCCGGCGAGUGAUCCCGGGAGAAGCCGCCUCCAGUGCAGAUCUUGGUGGCAGUAGCAAAUAUUCAAAUGAAACCUUUGAAGACUGAAGUGGAGAAGGGCUCCAUGUGAACAGCAUUUGGACAUGGGUUAGUCGAUUCUAAGGCCCCACCCGAAAGGGAAGCAAGCGCGGGCUCGCCCCGCGCGCCGCCGAAAGAGAAGAGGGUUAAUAUUCUCGCACCGGGAUGUGGCAGCCGCGGCAACGCAACGGAAUCCAGAGACGCCCGCCGGGGCUCCGGGAAGAGUUGUCUUUUCUUUUUGACAGCGCACGCGCCCUGGAAUUGAUUCGCUCGGCGAGAGGGCGCGGCACGCUGGCAGAGCGCCGCACUGGUUGCGGCGUCCGGCGCACCCCGGCGCGCCCGAGAAAAUCUGGAGGACCCUUCUGCUGUAUCACGCCCGAUCGUACCCAUAACCGCAUCAGGUCUCCAAGGUGAGAAGCCUCUAGUCAAACGGAUGAAUGUGGGUAAGGGAAGUCGGCAAAAUGGAUCCGUAACUUCGGAAAAAGGAUUGGCUCUGAGGACUGAGCACGGGAAUCUGGCGUCCGAGGCGGGGAGUCCCCGAAUGCCUGCCGACGCUGCGUCCGCGCGGCGGCGGCGGGCCUUGGCGACGAGCCGUCAAGGCGGCCAGAGCGCGCGCUUCAUCGCGCGCGCGUGUCUCGUGCGCUCGACAGUCGGCUCAGAACUGGAACGGACAAGGGGAAUCCGACUGUUUAAUUAAAACAAAGCAUUGCGAUGGUGCACGCGCAUGUUGACGCAAUGUGACUUCUGCCCAGUGCUCUGAAUGUCAAAGUGAAGAAAUUCAACCAAGCGCGGGUAAACGGCGGGAGUAACUAUGACUCUCUUAAGGUAGCCAAAUGCCUCGUCAUCUAAUUAGUGACGCGCAUGAAUGGAUUAACGAGAUUCCCACUGUCCCUAUCCACUAUCCGGCGAAACCACAGCCAAGGGAACGGGCUUGGCGGAAUCAGCGGGGAAAGAAGACCCUGUUGAGCUUGACUCUAGUUCGGCUCUGUGAGAUGACUUGGAAGGUGUAGCAUAAGUGGGAGGGCGCUUCGCGCGUCCGCAAGUGAAAUACCACUACUACCAACGUUGUUUUACUUACUCCAUGAGGCGGGAACGGGGGAUCCUCCCCCAGCUUGUAGACCCAAGGCGCGACUUGUCGCGCCGACCCGAGUGGAGGACAUUGUCAGGUGGGGAGUUCGGCUGGGGCGGCACAUCUGUAAAAAGAUAACGCAGGUGUCCUAAGACGUACUCAACGAGAACGGAAAUCCCGUGAGGAGCAAAAGGGCAAAAGUACGUUUGAUUCCGAUUUUCAGUACGAAUACGAACUGUGAAAGCAUGGCCUAUCGAUCCUUUUUUACUUCGGAGUUUGAAGCAAGAGGUGUCAGAAAAGUUACCACAGGGAUAACUGGCUUGUGGCAGCCAAGCGUUCAUAGCGACGUUGCUUUUUGAUCCUUCGAUGUCGGCUCUUCCUAUCAUUGUGAAGCAGAAUUCACCAAGUGUUGGAUUGUUCACCCACCAACAGGGAACGUGAGCUGGGUUUAGACCGUCGUGAGACAGGUUAGUUUUACCCUACUGAUGGAUUCGCGCCGCAAUAGUAAUUCAACUUAGUACGAGAGGAACCGUUGAUUCACGUCGCUGGCAAAUGCGCCUGGUCGAAUCGCCAGUAGCGCGAACCUACACGUGCAGGAUUAUGACUGAACGCCUCUAAGUCAGAAUCCGUGCUAAAAGCGGCGCAGUACCGCCCUCGACCGUGGACGAUUCCAUGUAGGGACGCUUCAUGCAAGCGCUCCCCUAAAGCAUACGCAACAUCACGCAAGCCGUGCUUCAACACCGACGAGGGUGCAAU